ensembl:lncRNA
GGCUUUUUUCCCAGGGUAUGUUUCUGCCUCUUUUGUCAAAUAUUAAGUGUCCAUAGCUCUGUCGUUUUAUUUCUGGGUUAUUUAUUCUAUUCCAUUGGUCUACCUACUUUUAUGGCAGUUCUAGGUUGACUUUAUCAUGAGAGCUCUGUAGUACGAUUGGAUAUUGUAAUACCUUCAACAGUGUUCUUACCCCUUGUUUUGGCUACCUGUCUUUUGAGUUUACAUAUUCAUUUUUGUAUUUUUUUCUAAGCCAGUGAAAUACACCAUCAGAAUUUUGAUAGCUAUUGCAUUAAAUCUGUGAAUUAAUUUUAGUACUCAUUUUCACAGUAUUAGUUCUGCCAAUCUAGGAUCACGAAAAAAGGUCUUCCUAUCACCUGUAUCUUCUAUGGCUUCCUUCUUCAAUGUCUUGAUCGAGAUCUUUCUCUUCUUUGAUUAGAUGUAUCCUAAAUACCUAAAAAUUCUGGAGUUAUUCUGAAUAGGAUAUUGUUCUUAAUUUCUUUCUCGGAGAGUACACAGUGGCAAUCUUAAAAAUUACCAGAAAGAAAAGAUGGUUACAUACAUAGGACAACAAUCAGAAGAACAGCAACCUGGAAACUGAAAGAAAGGAAAGGAUGCCUUCAAAGUGCUGUGGAAAAACCCAAAGGAUGGCUAAUUCAUGGCCACACACUCUGCCAAAUGGCCAUCUGUGCGACUGUAGUGCCAACCACUGAGACUGCUGAUCUGAGUAACUCUGGCCAGUUUCGUCCCAUGUUACUUCCAAGUGUGUUAUAAACAUAUACAUCCAGCAGGGUAAUCUGUGGCGAUUUAGCAAGGCUCCUUGGGGCUAGAGUGCACCUGCAAUUUAGUGGUAAUUCGAAAAGGAAUUCUACCUCGGAGGAAGCUACUUUUAUCUAGACGACACUAAGCUGGGGGAUGCCUCUGCUCCUGUUGCCACCAGGACUGUGUCUCUGUUAACAAGAGGCCAGUACAUUGCUCUCUAUGAAAUCUCAGACCUGUCUGUCUUAUUUCUUAACAGCCUGGACUGGUUCUGACACACUGGAAUUGAGUCAUUCUGGAAAACUCUCUCCAAAUGAAUGACAAUGAAAAUAAAGAUAUGUUCAAGAGAGAAAACCUAACAAGAUACCAGAAGAAUCCCACAAACCACAGAUCAAUACUAAAUGAAAUCCCAAAGAAUGUUCUUUAAAAAUAGUAACAAUGGUGUAGCCACCUGAGGCCAUGUUGAUGGCCGUGUUGGGGUCCGUGUUCCUCCUGAAGCCUGGAGCUAUGUUGAUGUUAAUGGGCAUUGCAGCUGCUAAAUGCCAUGUGGAUGUGAGUGACUAUACUGCCACCUGAAACCGUGUUGGGGUCUGUGGUCCUACUGCAACCUGAAGCCAUGUUGGGGUCUGUGGCCUGUCUUACCACCUAAGGCCAGGUGGAUGUCCAUGGUCUGCGCUGCAGCCUGAAGUCAUGUUAAUGUCCCUUGGCUGAGCUCCACCAAGGGCCAUGAUGGUGUUCCAUGGCCUGUGCUUCAGCAGAGGGUCAUAUUGGUGUCUGUGGUCUGUACUGCCACUGGAGGAGGCCAUGCUGAGGUCCAUAGCACUCUAUGGAUGCUGAAGGCCAUGAGUGUGUCUGUGGUCUGUGCUGUCUCCAGAAACCAUGUAGAAGUCCAUGAUCCAUACUUUGACUGACUGUAAAGGAUAAAGAAGUUACUUUUGCAGUGGUAUCAGACUGCAGACUCACAGUUGAGAAAGAGAGUCACAGACAGCUUCUAAGACCACCACCCCCAAAUGCUAACAGCCUAGACAACAAGACAUCAAAGAGA